rnacentral:rRNA from 1 species
AGUUCGAUUAUAAUGAAUUGAACAGCGAGUUCUUUUACACAUGCAAGUCGAACGGCAGCACGGACUUCGGUCUGGUGGCGAGUGGCGAACGGGUGAGUAAUGUAUCGGAACGUGCCUAGUAGCGGGGAUAACUGCGAAAGCGUAGCUAAUGCCGCAUACGCCCUUCGAGAAAGCGAGACCUUCGGGCUCGCGCCCCUAAUGAGCGGCCGAUAUCGGAUUAGCUAGUUGGUGGGGUAACGGCUCACCAAGGCGACGAUCAUCAGCUGGUUGGGAACGAUAAUACACUGGGACUGAGACACGGCAGACUCCUGCGGGAGGCAGCAGUGGGGAAUUUUGGACAAUGGGGGAAACCUGAUCCAGCCAUCCGCGUGUCCGAUGAAGGCCUUCGGGUUUGUAAAGCACUUUUGGCAGGAAAGAAACGGCACGGGAUAAUACCCCGUGCAACUGACGGUACCUGCAGAAUAAGCACCGGCUAACUACGUGCCAGCAGCCGCGGUAAUACGUAGGGUGCAAGCGUUAAUCGGAAUUACUGGGCGUAAAGCGUGCGCAGGCGGUUCCGGAAAGAAAGAUGCUUGAAAUCCCAGAGCUUAACUUUGGAACUGCAUUUUUAACUACCGAGCUAGAGUGUGUCAGAGGAGUGGAAUUCCGCGUGUAGCAGUGAAAUGCGUAGAUAUGCGGAGGAACACCGAUGGCGAAGGCAGCCUCCUGGGAUAACACUGACGCUCAUGCACGAAAAGCGUGGGGAGCAAACAGGAUUAGAUACCCUGGUAGUCCACGCCCUAAACGAUGUCAACUAGCUGUUGGGGCCUUCGGGCCUUGGUAGCGCAGCUAACGCGUGAAGUUGACCGCCUGGGAGUACGGUCGCAAGAUUAAAACUCAAAGGAAUUGACGGGGACCCGCACAAGCGGUGGAUGAUGUGGAUUAAUUCGAUGCAACGCGAAAAACCUUACCUACCCUUGACAUGUCUGGAAUCCCGAAGAGAUUUGGGAGUGCUCAUAAAGAGAACCGGAACACAGGUGCUGCAUGGCUGUCGUCAGCUCGUGUCGUGAGAUGUUGGGUUAAGUCCCGCAACAGCGCAACCCUUGUCAUUAGUUGCUACGAAGGCACUCUAAUGCAGUUCUGCUGAAAUGGUCGACAGGAAAACCGGAGGAAGGUGGGGAUGACGUCAAGUCCUCAUGGCCCCUAUGGGUAGGGCUUCACGUCAUACAAUGGUCGGGACGGAAAUUCGCCAGCCCGCGAGGAGCCAGUCAGAAACCCGAUCGUAGUCCGGAUCGCAGUCUGCAACUCGACUGCGUGAAGUCAGAAUCGCUAGUAAUCGCGGAUCAGCAUGUCGCGGUGAAUACGUUCCCGGGUCUUGUACACACCGCCCGUCACACCAUGGGAGUGGGUUUUACCAGAAGUAGUUAGCCUAACCCGUAAGGAGGCGAUUACCACGAUAGGAUUCAUGACUGGGGUGAAGUCGUAACAAGGUAG